rnacentral:rRNA from 1 species
AUUGAACGCUGGCGGCAGGCUUAACACAUGCAAGUCGAGCGGAGUGAUGGUGCUUGCACUAUCACUUAGCGGCGGACGGGUGAGUAAUGCUUAGGAAUCUGCCUAUUAGUGGGGGACAACAUCUCGAAAGGGAUGCUAAUACCGACUACCUCCUUCGGCAGCAAGCAGGGGAUCACUCGUGAUCUUGCGCUAAUAGAUGAGCCUAAGUCGGAUUAGCUAGUUGGUGGGGUAAAGGACUACCAAGGCGACGAUCUGGAGCGGGUCUGAGAGGAUGAUCCGCCACACUGGGACUGAGUCACGGCCCAGACUCCUACGGGAGGCAGCAGUGGGGAAUAUUGGACAAUGGGGGGAACCCUGAUCCAGCCAUGCCGCGUGUGUGAAGAAGGCCUUAUGGUUGUAAAGCACUUUAAGCGAGGAGGAGGCUCUUUUGGUUAAUACCCAAGAUGAGUGGACGUUACUCGCAGAAUAAGCACCGGCUAACUCUGUGCCAGCAGCCGCCGUAA